GGGGAAUUAGGAGGAGGACCCACAUCGUACAGUAAAAUUCACGCGGAGUGAAAAGCAAUCAAAGAAAAGUCCAAAAGGGGAACUCAUUGUGCCUCAUUGGUGGUGGUGGGGCAGAUCUGAUUGUGUUGGGUUGCUUUUUCACCGAGGCUUGUCGCUGUGUCGGAGAAGGCUCUGCUCUUUUUCUUUUUCAAAUUUUUUUGUUCUUUCGCGCCUGAUUCUCCGUGGCCUUGUCACCUUAUGUGACCAAUUUUUUGUCAUGUUGUUAAAGAUAGCCCACAUCCUCUGCCGCUCCAAAGCUACA
rnacentral:misc_RNA from 1 species